rnacentral:rRNA from 1 species
GACGAACGCUGGCGGCGUGCUUAACACAUGCAAGUCGAACGGAAAGGCCCUGCUUUUGUGGGGUGCUCGAGUGGCGAACGGGUGAGUAACACGUGAGUAACCUGCCCUUGACUUUGGGAUAACUUCAGGAAACUGGGGCUAAUACCGGAUAGGAGCUCCUGCUGCAUGGUGGGGGUUGGAAAGUUUCGGCGGUUGGGGAUGGACUCGCGGCUUAUCAGCUUGUUGGUGGGGUAGUGGCUUACCAAGGCUUUGACGGGUAGCCGGCCUGAGAGGGUGACCGGCCACAUUGGGACUGAGAUACGGACCAGACUCCUACGGGAGGCAGCAGUGGGGAAUAUUGCACAAUGGGCGGAAGCCUGAUGAAGAAACGCCGCGUGCGGGAUGCCGGCCUUCGGGUUGUAAACCGCUUUCGCCUGUGACGAAGCGUGAGUGACGGUAAUGGGUAAAGAAGCAACGGCUAACUACGUG